AGAGCGAACGCUGGCGGCAGGCCUAACACAUGCAAGUCGAGCGCGUGUAGCAAUACACGAGCGGCAGACGGGAGAGUAACACGUGGGAACGCGCCCUUCGGUUCGGAAUAACUCAGGGAAACUUGAGCUAAUACCGGAUACGCCCUUACGGGGAAAGAUUUAUUGCCGAAGGAACGGCCCGCGUCCGAUUAGCUAGUUGGUGAGGUAACGGCUCACCAAGGCGACGAUCGGUAGCUGGUCUGAGAGGAUGACCAGCCUCACUGGGACUGAGACACGGCCCAGACUCCUACGGGAGGCAGCAGUGGGGAAUAUUGGACAAUGGGCGCAAGCCUGAUCCAGCCAUGCCGCGUGGAUGAUGAAGGCCUUAGGGUUGUAAAGUCCUUUUAACGGGGAAGAUAAUGACGGUACCGUAGAAUAAGCCCGGCUAACUUCGUGCCAGCAGCCGC
rnacentral:rRNA from 1 species